GCCAGGCAUGGUGGCGCAUGCCUGUAAUCCCAGCUACUCAGGAGGCUGAGGCAGGAGAAUCACUUGAACCCGGGAGGCGGAGGUUGCAAUUAGCCAAAAUUGAGCCACUUCACUCCAGCCUGGGUGAUAGAGUGAGACUCUGCCUUAC
rfam:Gorilla gorilla gorilla genomic chromosome, chr12, whole genome shotgun sequence